AUGUUUCAACAAAUUAAUCCAUCAAAUCCCCCCCUUUUCUUUUCUUGUUGUUGCCUACACCCUCUAGAACUCAAGUCUUGAUAAUCUUGCAAGAAUAGGAAAAAUUAUCCAACAAAAGGUGCAGUCAACUAUCAACGUAACGCCUUACUAAAAAAAGGAAACGAAAAGUCAAUGUUUCCAAGUUAUCAGUCAAUGCCAUUACCAUUUCUCUAAAAAACAGUGAGUUUUUUUAGGAAGCUGUGAAGAAUAAAUCCAUUCCUAGCAAGUAUUUUGAGGCUACCCUUUGUUUGUCCUAACUGGAUUGUCGAGUGUGAGUCAAACAAACAGCCUUGGCUUCUUUUUUUGUUUGUACAUUUGUAUUUAAUCUCCUUCAGCUUCUCUCCUUCCCUUUCAUCACUUUAUACAGACAGCCUCUUCUUCCAUUCCUAAAUCCUGUUCCUCCAAGGUUGCUUGCUGAAAGUAGCUGGAUUUUCACCGCCUUGCAUCACUGAAGAAUCAGAGGCCUGUUCUGUGAGGUACGGUUUCUUUUUACCUGCUCAAAUGCCAAAUUCAUGUUACUGGAAUUUGAGUAUUUCUUGAUAUGGCAUCUCAUGGUUGCAUUUAUAGACAAUCUAAAUACCGUAUAAACUAACAGUUCAUGUUUUGGCAGAGCAAACACGCUCUCUUUUUCUUAGCUAUUAUAUUUGAUAGUUUUGAGCAGGAGAGUCAAGCUUCAUCAGAAAAUAGAUAUUAGAACAAUAUUAGGCACCAUGCAGGAAAAACAAGACUAUGCCAGCCAGAUUACGACAGAUGAGUUUUGUUCUUCCUAUAUGCUCCUAUUCCUGGUCAGAAUAUGAAAAACCUUAAGGAAAUUUACAUAAUCUGUUGAGGGAAACAUCAAUGCAAACCCCAGUUAACAUUAUAUCUUCUUCUUUCAAAAAAAAAAAAAAAAAACUUAUAAGGGUGAAUUCCUUGCAUUAAAUUCAAUAGAAUUUUAUAGAUAAAAGGAGCAAAUUACCUUUAGAAUCUGACCCAUCUUCUGCAUUAGGUCCCGAGCCGGAUAAAACAGGAACUCAAUUUGAAUUAUGCUGGUCAAAAUCAUGGUUCUGAGACUGAUAGGAAGCAAUAGAAAUUGGGAAGGGAGAGAGAUUAACACUUGCCUGUAACCAUUCAAGAGUCAAAAGAAAAUAGGUAAGCCUAAAGCCAAGCCAGAACCCAUAACAAUGUGUCUCAAGACACUCAAACACACCAUGCAAAAGGCAUUGCUACUUGUUAUUGGCAAAUGUGAUUGCCACGUCCAAAAUAUGGCUCCAUGUCUAUGGAUUGUAACUCAAGCAUGGUAUAUAUAAUUCCUAUCUCACUGCAAUGAAAGCUACCUUCGUCUUUUAGUUAAAGUUUAUACUUUUGACUGCUCUAAAAUGGAAGGAGUUAGGCAAGCCAAGGUGCUGCCAAACAUUUCAUGGGCACUUUCACUAAUAUAUAUAUAUGUACACGCUUUGAUGUAAUAGAUGUCACUCUUUAGAUGCAUGAAUUCUGCCUAACCGUAUGCAUGCUUGUUCCAUAAAUGAGAGGCUUCCAGCUCACAAAUUUGAACCUUUUCAGGUCGUAGCCUAAAUGAGUUGGGAGCAAACUUGUACAUUGAGAUAAGCAUCAAUGGAGAAGCUGCCAAGCCAGAGCACAGUCGGUGGUAAACCUAUUACUACAUUUGUGCAAACAGACACAAAGGCCUUUCGUGAUGUUGUUCAGCGGUUAACAGGCUCAUCAGAGGGUGAUGCAGCAGAAGGAACAGCAGGAGCAGCAACAAAGAUUGCAGGCAUAAAGAGAUCAACACCUAAACUCCAUGAAAGAAGGCAGAACCUAAGGCCCAAGCUAGAGAUAGUGAAGCCCCCUCUUAUCUUCAAACCUAGUACAUCGCCAACAACAUCGGGUAAUCACAGUCUUCUUCCAAGUCCUGCAGGAACCCCUUCGUUCAUGUUCUCCCCUUCCACCAUUUUAUCAAAACUGUCAAUCCAAGAGCAGGGGAGCAGAGGAGAGUCAGCAAUAUCUGACUUAAAUAACGAGGAAGAAGAGAAAGCCAUUAAAGAGAGGCGAUUUUACCUGCAUCCAUCACCACGGUCUAAACCUGGUUACACUGAACCAGAGUUGCUCGCCUUGUUUCCUUUAACAUCCCCCCAAGCAAGUGACAAACACUAAUUUUGACAGUGCAUAUCCUCCCACUGGAAUAACUUUUUUCCAUGCAAAGUAAAGGACGUUGUGUUAACUGUUACCAUAAACAGAUGUUAUCGUUUUUGAAAAAGCACCAAGUACUGUAAUGGUAUUGUUCUUAUAAUUCUCAAGAGAUCAUUUUUCAUCACAAAUAAGCAUGCGCGGUGACUCAUGCGAGUGCAGAAAUGACGACUAAGGUUUCCAUUUAUAAUAUAAUGAAUGAGAAAAAGUAUAGGGGAUUAGGUGCCAUUGGAAGCCUUCAUCAUAUCUUCUUGAAGCAUGCAUGGUUAACUUUUCAGGAUAUCGCUGUAGUCUGCCCAUAGGUUAUUUUUCGCUAUACAAUCAGUGUCCAUCUUACUCUCAUUUUCCUGACCUUUUUGUUGAAUGUCAUCUGUGGUCUAAUUGCUGAGGGAUUGCAACCAUCUAACAAAAAUGACAGAAGAAAUCUGAACUCUUUGAAAAGUGUGUUUACAGGUAAAUAUUUCUAAAGGAAAGGAUUGACACACUGAAAUCUAGACUAUAACUAAAAAAUUGUAGUGUAAUAGUUGAAUAUAUAUAUAUAUAACCGAAAUUUCAACAAAGUUUCUUUUAUAUUUUUUUUUAUACCAUGAUAUCGACUCAAUAUUCUCAACCUGUAAACAUCAAUCAAAAUAAUCAUCCCAUCAUCUGAACCUUUAAAACUCAACCAUAAUAUCAAAUUCUCAUUUCCAUAUUCUAUAAAACAAUUAUUUAAAGUCAAUUAAUCCAUAGCAUGCAUUACAUCAUAUAUAAGUAAUUAAGUUAUAUAUUAUAAUUCUUAAACACAAAAGUGUAUUACAACAAAAUAUUGGUUCUUCCAAUAACAUCAAUUACUUAACAAAAUUAUCCAUCCAUACAUCUACUUUUCAAUUUGAGGGUACCUAAAAACAUAAUCAUAUUAAGCAUGAUUAAAAUUAUACAUUACGAUAAACAAAUACUUAAGGACUACUUAUUUAUGUGCAUUAAUGUAAUUCCAACAUCAUUAAAUGAAAUAUCUUAUCUUUAGUUAUUCAAUAAUUUCAUCAAUUCUUAAUAUGAUUUCCGAAUAGAAAUAAAUUUAUGAAAAUAACAAGAAUAUCUCUAACAAAUCCAUAUAUUCAACUUUAAUUUAAAUCAAUUAAAUCCAACAAUUAUCCAUUAUACCAAGUAUUUAUCUCAUCAACCAGGGAGUUAAAUUCUCUUAACUUACCCAUUCGUCAGGAUACUAUUUCCCUUAACUAGGAAAUCAUUAUCUUCAUGUACCCAUUUAUCUGGACAUUAUUUCCAUUAACCAAAAAAUAAUUUUUCAAAUUCGCCUAUUCAACAGGGUAUUAAACUACCUCUUUAUUUCAUAGCUUUAUACUAAAAUUACUAUCUAAGAAAAUUCCUUCUACGAUAAUUUCAAAUAAGCUAUUAAGUUACUUUAAAGUGUUGAACACCUACCUGGUGCUUGUGUGCGCGACGAGGUCCCUUGUAGAUUAGAUCCUACGGCCUCAUCUGUACCAACACAAUUUACCAUUCCAUUGCUCAUUCAUUUGAACUGGUAAAAUUAUAAUACUAAUUACAUAUUUCUUGAUUAAAUCCAACACCCUUACAUAAGUUUAAUUAAACUUUUAAAUAAAAAAGGAUAAAAUCACCUUUUUAGUUUUUUUUAUUGAUAUAAGUCCCCGAAUUCUCCAACGAUUUACUCGAUUUGUCUAAAACCACCCUCCUAAAUUAAUGAAGUCCAAAUCAAAACUUUUCUCUCUUUUCUCUCUCUCUUUUUGUUAUGUGUUAUUGCCGAACUUCAAUAAGGAAAGAAGGUGAGAUUUUUUCUCCAUUCUUACAAACAUCAUUAUUCAAUUAACUUAUCAACAUCAAUUAUCUACAAUUUGAUAAGAUUUCUAAACAAUUUUAUUAAAACUCAAUUGUCCUAAUUUUCUUUUUCAUAGCCGAAAUUCAUUUAAAAGAAGAAAGUGAGGAUUUUUCUUCUCUCUUUGAAAAAUCCUUACUUAUUUCAUCUAUUAACAUUUAUAAACCUAUAUUUUCCCACAAUUUCCAAACAAUUGCAUUAAAACCUUAAAUCUUUCAAAUCUUUCUCUUUGGCCGAAACCUCUAAUAAAAAGGGGAAAGGGAUUUUGUUUCUUCUAUUUAAAAUUAAACACUUACCCAAUCAUAAUCCAUGCUUUCUAAUAUGGUUCAAUCAUAAUUUCCAUUAUUCUCAUAAUUAAUAUCAUAAACCCAUAAUUUCACAUAAUCACAAUAAUUCAAUUCCUUCAUCAAAACAUAAAAUUUGAGAAAUUAAUCACUUGGAGCAUGUUCUUUACUUUACUUUCAUAAGGAUUCAAGGAAAGAAUGCAAAAAAAAAUCAAGUUGUCUUGUCCUCCCUCUUCAAACCCUAGCUUGAAUUUCUUCUUCCAAAACACUCAUAACACUAAAAUCACCCCUCUAAAUUUGUUUAACUAAGUUAAUCACUCCAAUUAUACACUUUUAUUGAUGAAAUCAACAAGAAUUCAAGUAGAAAAAUCACACAAAACCUCUCCCUCUCUUUGUUUUAAACCGUCGGCCAAGAGAGAAAAAUGGGGCAUUUAUAGUCUAAUUUUUCUUGUAUUUACACAUUGGCUCUCAUUACUUCUUCUUUCUAUUUUUGUCCCACAAUUCUAUUUUUUACUUAAUUUACACCAUAACACCUUCUCUUUUAUUCUAUUGUAUCUCUUCACAAUACCUGAAAUCCUUUUAUUUAAUCUAUCCAGUGUUUUAUUUAUUUUGUUCGGAUUAUAAUUUAUCGGGUUUUCACAGGUGCAUUAUUAGGAAUUCUUUGCAUACAAACACAAAACUAUUGUUUAGAAAGCUAAAAACCAGGAGUUUAUAAACAAUAUAUCUUGCAUAGUACUUUCUCUAGUCAUAUCUGACAUGUUUGCUUAUCUUUACUAUUCAAUUAUAUUCAUGUGAGGUAAAGUUCCAUUAAGCACAGCAAUAAUCACUUCAAUUCAUGAACUUAAAUAAGAACAAGUUACAAAGUUUAAGGCGCAUCCGUUUUAUCUGUUGGAGUUUCCCAGCAGUUGGGAGACAGUCAUACUAGUCUUUCAAAAUAACAUAUGAAACAAUACCAGGUCACUAAAAGAAAUUGUCCAAUUAAGUUGUUAACGAAUAACUUUCAGAUGCUAUCUACUAGAGGUUAUGUAGAAUUUUAUGAUGUCAAAAGUUCUAUGGUUGGGACUUGCCUCUCCAGGAAUAUGGAUACUUGAGGGCAGAUGGAUGUGAGUUAGAAAGGCAUUGAACCUUGAUGCUCAACUAUAUAGAAACUGUGUUGAACAGAAAUCUGCCAAAAAAAUAAAAAUCCUCUUAAGUUGAUCAUAAACCAGGUGGCAAACAAAUAUUAAACAAAAUGGUGACAUGUUAGAGAUAAAUGAACAAGUGUAAAUACAGCUAUGAAAACCUCAGUCUCUUAUAAUUAUGAAAAUAUCCAAUCUCAAUGCCCACAACUCACUAAGGUAUGCCACCAAAACAGAUGAAGCAAGCAGAAGGAAUUGUUUGACACAUUGAGGCCUUCCAAAGGACUGUGGAGUGACUCAUUUUGAUGAGUUUGUACAGAUUAAGGCCAAACAAGGGGUCUAAUGAAAUCCACACUUUUACAAUUUGUCAUUUAGAUGCAAUAGAUUUUAUCCCUUAUUUUGAAGUUUCUAUAGAAGCAAUAAGAUAAAAACAUUAAUUUGAAGUUGGAAACAUACCAAAACUGUAGCAGAAACUCAUUCCAUUAUCCUGACACAGAAGUUCGGAAACAUUGCAUCCAAUCGAUUAACUUGAAGUGGAUCAUGUUUAAC
rnacentral:lncRNA from 1 species